rnacentral:rRNA from 1 species
AACGAACGCUGGCGGCAGGCUUAACACAUGCAAGUCGAGCGGGGGAGGUUGCUUCGGUAACUGACCUAGCGGCGGACGGGUGAGUAAUGCUUAGGAAUCUGCCUAUUAGUGGGGGACAACAUUCCGAAAGGAAUGCUAAUACCGCAUACGCACUACGGGGGAAAGCAGGGGAUCUUCGGACCUUGCGCUAAUAGAUGAGCCUAAGUGGGAUUAGCUAGUUGGUGGGGUAAAGGCCUACCAAGGCGACGAUCUGUAGCGGGUCUGAGAGGAUGAUCGGCCACACUGAGACUGAGACACGGCCCAGACUCCUACGGGAGGCAGCAGUGGGGAAUAUUGGACAAUGGGCGGAAGCCUGAUCCAGCCAUGCCGCGUGUGUGAAGAAGGCCUUUUGGUUGUAAAGCACUUUAAGCGAGGAGGAGGCUCUUAAGGUUAGUACCCUUGAUGAGUGGACGUUACUCGCAGAAUAAGCACCGGCUAACUCUGUGCCAGCCGCCGCAGUAACAC